GAUCACGUGAUUCCAUGCCAGUACUCACAAGAGAUGAGAUAUGGUUACACGAGUGUGGUAGGUUCCUUGGUCGCGCGCCUAUGCUGUGCUCCACAGCUUACUCAUAACCGCUGCCCAAAGCGUACUUGCUUUGCAGUGCAGUAGAUUUAGCUGGCUUUGAUCACGAUACAGGUCAUCAGACAUGCCUCCUUAUAGUGCCGAGAGAUGGCUCAAAACUCCCACAAUGCGUUGUCAAUACAAUGGGAGACGCAAAGACCUCCAUGAAUGGUGGGUGGAAAUCCCAAUUGAUUUUGCUGACGGAAAUUCCUUACAAGAUGGAGCUGCUCAGUGGUGCACAGUUGCCCUCAACUUCCGCGCAUGCAACUCAGAAACACUAGUGAUCUCACACGUGGAAGCAGCAGGAGUGUGCCAUCACCAGGACGCGAGACGUGCACCCAAUAACUGUCGAAUCUCUGUAUGAUUGCGCUGAAUGUUGGAUUUGUCGAACAUGAAGCGAUGAACAGUGUACACUAAACUCACAUUCUUAACUUUGUGGUGAACUUUUGAAGCCUAAAUGGCACACCACGCGUGGAGUGCAGUUGUCCUAACCAGCAUGAUUCGGUUUCUAUUUGCAUCUGAGAAGAAUAUGGUGGAUAUUAUCAACAAAUCAAGACCAGUAGAACCUAUUGGUGGAGUUAGUGGCAAGCCAAACCGCGGGAUUGUAGGAAUCUUCUUUUCUCCCACCUGCGGUAACAAUUUCAGAUAAAGUUGGCUGACGUCUAUCUUUCCAAAUGUUCACAUUGGCCAAGCGAAAGUUACGAUAAUGCUGUCUUAAAAAGAAAUGGGACAGUAAUUUACCUUAUGAUACCUCUACAUGUUCAAAGAUCCCUUUUUCAGGUUGUGUCUCGAACUGCUUCAGUGAUCAGGUCGGGAUACUUUCAGAGAGCUCAACUUGCACGAGUCCAGCAAGAUAAUGAUUGUGCAGCCUUUCGUUCACUGCACUCUCAACACGUGCACAAUCGACUGAAGAGGACCAAUUUCACCUGUCAAAAAGAUGAAAAAAAAAAAAGGGCUGGUGUGAACCACCAGUCCCGCAUGAGUGAUAAUCAAAGGAGCUCGAUAGUUGCUGUUUUGACAUCACAACGGACCGCAUCAAUCACCUUCAGACCCCAGAGGGACUCUUAGCUAUCCUAUUCAAAACAGAAGACAAGUCUGGCGAUGCUGAGAUUUGUUCAUCAAGACCUGCGGCAGCAGAAGCUGCAGCAGAUUGAACCUCUCCGUACCUGACUGGCUCUCAUGUCUCUGAUUCUUACUCUUAUGUUACGUAAGUCACCCAUGUCUUUGAACGGAUCUAUUCAUGUCGCUCAUUGUCUCCAUUUCAAAAGUCAGAUCCUUCAUGUGGACGUAGGAAAGGAUGGGCACUGAGUUCAAUGAAUCCUUCACCUAGAAUUCAGAUGUUAAUCAUCAUGUAUAGUUUGGACAAAGGACAUUCAGUGUUCUAUGUGUCUGACCUGUCGCCAGCAUGGAUCGCCCGUCAGACCCUGAGCAGCCCUUGAAUUACAAGCCACCAAACUGUGAAGGAACAGGUCAGGGUCUUCAUCGCGCAUCUUCAUUGUUGCAUGUGCUUGCGAUUGGGUUAACUGGAGAAAUACAUAAUUAAAUGCAUGCAAAUUGAUAGGAAAAACAUCAGACAAGAAGUACAUUAGCGGGUGGGUGAGAAACGGAGGAUGCUCGCUCUCCAAUUGUGAAAAUGAAGCGACUGCAUUGACAAUCCCGCAAGGAGUGAAGUACCUUUUCACUUGAGGCACUGGCAUGCCCAUAAACUGCUGACUCUUGAAUAACUUAUGUUCAAGAAGUUCCACUGCAGCAAGACGUUGAAUCAUAAUAACCCGUAACUUUUUCCUGUAA